rnacentral:rRNA from 1 species
GUAGGAUGCAAGCGUUGUCCGGAUUUACUGGGCGUAAAGCGCGCGCAGGCGGCACUCUAAGUACGUCGUGAAAUAUCCCGGCUCAACCGGGAGGGUGCGAUGUAGACUAGGGAGCUAGAGGUCGGUAGAGGGGGGNGGAAUUGCUGGUGUAGCGGUGAAAUGCGUAGAGAUCAGCAGGAACACCCGUGGCGAAGGCGGCCCCCUGGGCCGUACCUGACGCUGAGGCGCGAAGGCUAGGGGAGCGAACGGGAUUAGAUACCCCGGUAGUCCUAGCAGUAAACGAUGGCCACUAGGUGUGGGGGGUGUUGACCCCUUCCGUGCCGUAGCUAACGCAUUAAGUGGCCCGCCUGGGGAGUACGGUCGCAAGACUA